CAGAGAAAUUACUCCUACCCCAAGCAACUCCUCUCUCCCCUUUCCAGGUAGCCUCUGUUGUGAAGAGCUUACACUUGGAACAAAAGAAGGAAAACAACUCAGCUGCAAUAAGAAGAAAGAGAUGGCAAGAAAGAAGUUGAAAGAUUUCACGACUUUGGAGCUUAUGCUCAGUGUUCUUCUGUUUAUGGUGUUUAUCAUCACUAUUCCUCUGUUUGUGCUUUCAGCUAAAGAUUCUUUGGAAUCACAAGAUCCUGGGGCAACAGUUACCCCCGAUCCUGGGACAGCAAGUACCACCCCUGAUCCUGCUAUGUGCCCAGUAGUAAGUGAAGUGGAACGGAUAAACUGCA